rnacentral:piRNA from 1 species
UGGGAUUAUUGUGGGUCCACUGCCUGGGU